UUGUGGAGGAGGACGCCGAAGGUGGGGCUAAUGACUGGGGUGAAGUCGUAACAAGGUAGCCGUACCGGAAGGUGCGGCUGGAUCACCUCCUAACAGGGAGACAACAAAAUGUUUAAUAUUAUUAUUUUGUCACCUUAGGUCGAUCGGUAUCUCACUUUCUUAAUUUAUUAAGAAUUUCAUUUCCUAAGUUUUUCUAGGUCACACCCAUUAUUUUUCCUGGGCCAUUAGCUCAGGUGGUUAGAGCGCACCCCUGAUAAGGGUGAGGUCCCUGGUUCAAGUCCAGGAUGGCCCAUAUCUCUAUGUUGGGGGUAUAGCUCAGUUGGUAGAGCGCCUGCUUUGCAAGCAGGAUGACAGCGGUUCGAGUCCGCUUACCUCCACUGAUUACCACCUCUUCCAUAAUUUUUGGAGAAAGGAAAUUUUUUGAGUUGUGAUCAAAUUCUGAACGAAUCUAGCUUCCUAAUGAAAUCAUUAAGAUGCUGGACUCAUUGAAUUAAUUUCAUUGUUUUCAGAGAACCUUGACAACUGCAUAGAUUAUUUUUAAAGACAAUAAGCAUCUUUGAUGAUGCAGAUUUAUUAUUUGUGCGAAUGCAUUAAUAACAAUUCUAUUAAGCUGAUGCUUCAAUUUUGAAGUUAUUGGUCAAGCUACAA
rnacentral:misc_RNA from 1 species